AUGUUUCCUCAACUUCCUUUUCCUCUGUAAUCUGUUAUAUUUCACAUUUCAGUCACAUCACCAAAUAUGUAUGCAAUCACAUUGAAUCACCAAAUAUGUAUGCAAUCACAUUGAAACAAAAGGAAAAUCAAUUAGCAGAAAUGAAAAUGCAUAAAGUAUUUCCUCUGACCUCUUCUUUUGAAACUUCAGUCUCUGUAAUUUCAUUUCCUUCUAUUGUUUUCUUGCACUGAUUUUCUUCAGUCCUCACUUCACUAAUAGCCUCUAUUAGAUGUUUUUCCUUAAUUUCGGUGUCCUCUGAUCCAGCAACUUCUUCCUGAGAAUGUAUUACUGCCUCAGAUUGAAGAGCCUUACUUUCUGAUGAAGCAUCGGUACUUUUUAGCUUAUUCUCAAUUCCCCAAGGCUCUAAAGCUCCGUCAGGAGUGUGGCCUUCUUCCUCGUAAGCUUCAGUUGGAUUGUCCUGUAAAUCUUUAUUGAUUUUGAAUCCCAUAGUGGAAACUUCAAGCUCCCUGGGUUCUUCUGUUUGCAAGCAUGGGCCCUCAUCUUCCAACUUUUCCACUUUUUGCUGUUUCUCUUCUUCUAUCUCCUCAACUGUAACGGUAGUUUCAUGCUUGGGGGUCAUUUGUGCAUUUGUUUUCUCUGCUAAGGGAGUCUGAUCAGUAGUAAUUUCAUUUUCUGUAACAGGUUCAAUAGCUUGAGCGCUAUAGUCAGAUGCUUCUUUGCAAGCUUCUUCAAUGUUUUCAGCAUCUGGCUUCUCCUCAGUUGUGUUUUUCC
rnacentral:lncRNA from 1 species